rnacentral:rRNA from 1 species
AUUGAACGCUGGCGGCAGGCCUAACACAUGCAAGUCGAGCGAGCGGCGGACGGGUGAGUAAUGUCUGGGAAACUGCCUGAUGGAGGGGGAUAACUACUGGAAACGGUAGCUAAUACCGCAUACCAUCAGAUGUGCCCAGAUGGGAUUCGCUAGUAGGUGGGGUAACGUCUCCCUUAGGCGCCGAUCCCUAGCUGGUCUGAGAGGAUGAACAGCCACACUGGAAAUGAGAAACGGUCCAGAGUCCGACGUGAGGAAGCAGGGGGGAAUAUUGCACAAUGGGGGCAAGCCGGAUGCAGCCAUGCGGCGUGUGUGAAGAAGGCCUUCGGGUUGUAAAGCACUUGAAGCGGGGAGGCGUUGUCCGCAGAAGAAGCAACGGCUAACUCCGUGCCAGCAGCCGCGGUAAUAC